UGAGGAAUAUUGGUCAAUGGGCGGGAGCCUGAACCAGCCAAGUCGCGUGAGGGAAGACGGUCCUAUGGAUUGUAAACCUCUUUUGUCGGGGAGCAAAGAGGCCACGUGUGGUCAAAAGCGAGAGUACCCGAAGAAAAAGCAUCGGCUAACUCCGUGCCAGCAGCCGCGGUAAUACGGAGGAUGCGAGCGUUAUCCGGAUUUAUUGGGUUUAAAGGGUGCGUAGGCGGGACGGUAAGUCAGCGGUAAAAAUGCGGAGCUCAACUCCGUCGAGCCGUUGAAACUGCCGUUCUUGAGUGAGCGAGAAGUAUGCGGAAUGCGUGGUGUAGCGGUGAAAUGCAUAGAUAUCACGCAGAACUCCGAUUGCGAAGGCAGCAUACCGGCGCUCAACUGACGCUGAAGCACGAAGGCGUGGGUAUCGAACAGGAUUAGAUACC
rnacentral:rRNA from 1 species